rnacentral:rRNA from 1 species
ACGUUCGACACCUACGGGAGGCAGCAGUGGGGAAUAUUGCACAAUGGGGGGAACCCUGAUGCAGCGACGCCGCGUGAGUGAAGAAGUACUUCGGUAUGUAAAGCUCUAUCAGCAGGGAAGAAAAUGACGGUACCUGACUAAGAAGCCCCGGCUAACUACGUACCAGCAGCCGCGGUAAUCUGAGCGGGCUGGCAAGGC